rnacentral:rRNA from 1 species
UACGGAGGGUGCGAGCGUUGUCCGGAAUCACUGGGCGUAAAGGGCGCGUAGGCGGCGCGGGUAGUCAUCGGUGAAAGUUCAGGGCUCAACUCUGAAUCGGCCGGUGAUACUCCCGUGCUCGAGCACUGUAGAGGCAGGUGGAAUUCCGGGUGUAGCGGUGGAAUGCGUAGAGGAUCCGGAAGAACACCGGUGGCGAAGGCGGCCGUGCUGGGCAGUGAGCUGACGCUGAUGCGCGACAGCGUGGGGAG